rnacentral:lncRNA from 1 species
UUUUAAAAACCUUGCGGUGAGGCAUGGUUUCUGACAUCAGAAAAAAAAAGUGAAGUAUAGGCCACUGGACGUUAAGCAACCAAGUAUUAAACCUCACCUUUCCGUGAAGUGUUUACAAUUAUUUGUAUUUUUAAAAUAAAAAAAAAAAAGGAUAAACAUUUCCAAAAACUGAAAAUAUUUGAGAAGACGCUAUUACCUUAGAAGUAAAAAAUUUACCAGACAGAAUAAACACGGCAGAAACAAACAAACGAAAAAAAACCAAGAGAACAAUUUGAAAUACCAUAUACAUGUUAAAAUCGGUAUAUACAAGCGGAUUAUAAACGGGAC